GGACGAACGCUGGCGGCGUGCUUAACACAUGCAAGUCGAACGGAAAGGCCCUGCUUUUGUGGGGUGCUCGAGUGGCGAACGGGUGAGUAACACGUGAGUAACCUGCCCUUGACUUUGGGAUAACUUCAGGAAACUGGGGCUAAUACCGGAUAGGAGCUCCUGCUGCAUGGUGGGGGUUGGAAAGUUUCGGCGGUUGGGGAUGGACUCGCGGCUUAUCAGCUUGUUGGUGGGGUAGUGGCUUACCAAGGCUUUGACGGGUAGCCGGCCUGAGAGGGUGACCGGCCACAUUGGGACUGAGAUACGGCCCAGACUCCUUCGGGAGGCAGCAGUGGGGAAUAUUGCACAAUGGGCGGAAGCCUGAUGCAGCAACGCCGCGUGCGGGAUGACGGCCUUCGGGUUGUAAACCGCUUUCGCCUGUGACGAAGCGUGAGUGACGGUAAUGGGUAAAGAAGCACCGGCUAACUACGUG
rnacentral:rRNA from 1 species